rnacentral:tRNA from 2 species
UUCUCAAUAGCUCAAUGGUAGAGCGUCGGCUGCUAACUGAUUGAUCGUAAGUUCGAAUCCUACUAAGAAA